rnacentral:rRNA from 1 species
AUUGAACGCUGGCGGCAGGCUUAACACAUGCAAGUCGAGCGAGCGGCGGACGGGUUAGUAAUGGCUGGGAAACUGCCUGAUGGAGGGGGAUAACUACUGGAAACGGUAGCUAAUACCGCAUACCAUCAGAUGUGCCCAGAUGGGAUUAGCUAGUAGGUGGGGUAAUGGCUCACCUAGGCGACGAUCCCUAGCUGGUCUGAGAGGGGGACCAGCCACACGGGAACGGGACCACGGUCAGGACUCCUACGGGAGGCGGCAGUGGGGAGUAUUGCACAAUGGGGGAAAGCCUGAUGAAGCCAUGCCGCGUGUGUGAAGAAGGCCUUAGGGUUGUAAAGCACUUUAAGCGAGGAGGCGUUACUCGAAGAGGAAGCCACGGCUAACUCCGUGCCAGCAGCCGCGGUAAUUC